rnacentral:rRNA from 1 species
UCCGUGCCAGCAGCCGCGGUAAUACGGAGGGUGCAAGCGUUGUCCGGAUUUAUUGGGUUUAAAGGGUGCGUAGGCGGGCCUUUAAGUCAGUGGUCAAAGCCCAUCGCUCAACGAUGGAAUUGCCAUUGAUACUGGAGGCCUUGAGUUCAGUUGAGGUAGGCGGAAUUUAUGGUGUAGCGGUGAAAUGCAUAGAUACCAUAAAGAACACCGAUAGCGAAGGCAGCUUGCUUAACGAUAACUGACACUGAUGUACGAAAGCGUGGGUAGCGAACAGGAUUAGAUACCCUGGUAGUCCACGCCGUAAACGAUGAUCACUCGCUGUUGGCGAUACACAGUCAGCGGCCAAGCGAAAGCGUUAAGUUAUCCACCUGGG